ACCGAACGCUGGCGGCAGGCCUAACACAUGCAAGUCGAGCGCCUCGCAAGAGGAGCGGCAGACGGGUGAGUAACGCGUGGGAAACUACCCUUUGGUACGGAACAACUCGGCGAAAGCUGAGCUAAUACCGUAUGUGUCCUUCGGGAGAAAGAUUUAUCGCCAAAGGAUGUGCCCGCGUCGGAUUAGCUAGUUGGUGGGGUAACGGCCCACCAAGGCGACGAUCCGUAGCUGGUCUGAGAGGAUGAUCAGCCACACUGGGACUGAGACACGGCCCAGACUCCUACGGGAGGCAGCAGUGGGGAAUAUUGGACAAUGGGGGCAACCCUGAUCCAGCCAUGCCGCGUGAGUGAUGAAGGCCUUAGGGUUGUAAAGCUCUUUCGCCCGCGAAGAUAAUGACUGUAGCGGGAGAAGAAGCCCCGGCUAACUUCGUGCCAGCAGCCGCGGUAAUAC
rnacentral:rRNA from 1 species